GUAAGGUGACGCCAUGACGUCACUUGGUAAAACGAUCGACCUACACGGGCGGCGCCGGCCAAUUCCAAGUCUCUAGACAAUCAAUAUAAGAAGGAAAGAAGCUCUGGUUAAUGUAUACACAUUAGAUAAUUGGACUUAUUGUUUAUUCAUGCUUUUAACACAAGCCGAUAUUUUCCUUUUGAAGCUUUCAAACUUCACUAAUGAGGUAACAGGGACUGAAUAAAAUGUUUAGAGCUUUUAGAAAGGAAAAUAAGUUACAUAAGGAAAUUAUAAAAAGGAUGAAUUGCAAAUAGAAAAUAAAUCAACAAAGAAAAUUGUGGGGUUGUAAUCCUGUUGAGAGCUCUAUCAGAUCAUGUAUAAAGCAUAGAUUACAGGUGUAUGUAGUGGAAUAAAGUGAAGGGAUUUAAUGGACCUGUACAUAAUGUCACAGCCAAUAUGCGAUAUAGAUCGGAAAUACUGAUAUUGUAGAUGGAUGGAACAAUGAAGAAAAACUUGAAGAAAGCUCACAUAAGCUAACAAUAGACAAUUUUUUACUCUUUCAUCUUCAAAAACUUCAUCACCAAUUUCAUCGCAUAAUUAACCAGAAUCUAUGAAAAUUGAAUCCAGUUAAAUGAAUAAUUGAUCAUUAAAAGGUUUUGAUGUUGAAUUUUGCAUAUAUAUUAAAAGGAUUAUUUUCUAUAGGAUAAAUAAAGUUAAAAAUUAACAAUGUAAAGCAGUUUAAAGUCUAAGAGAUUGAAGAGUUUAAUGAAAAAAAGAAGUAACUAUACGUUUUCAUAGAUACAAACACGCAAAAUGGUUGUUUAAUGGCUUUGAACAUACUUACAAGUUUUAUUCGCUCGUAAAAUUAAUUGGCAUUCGAUCGAGAAGUUUUAAUAUCAAGUUUUUCUACAGAAAACAUGGCUGCUUCAGUAGUAAAUUAUUGCAUAAAAUUCUUAAUGAGUAAAUAUGUAUAAUAUUAAUUUAAAAAAUACAUCAAACAGUAAGGAAAAUUUUAAUUUAGUCUUAUUU